AUUGAACGCUGGCGGAAUGCUUUACACAUGCAAGUCGAACGGCAGCACGGGGCAACCUGGUGGCGAGUGGCGAACGGGUGAGUAAUACAUCGGAACGUGCCCAAUCGUGGGGGAUAACGUAGCGAAAGCUACGCUAAUACCGCAUACGAUCUACGGAUGAAAGCGGGGGAUCGCAAGACCUCGCGCGAAUGGAGCGGCCGAUGGCAGAUUAGGUAGUUGGUGGGGUAAAGGCUCACCAAGCCUGCGAUCUGUAGCUGGUCUGAGAGGACGACCAGCCACACUGGAACUGAGACACGGUCCAGACUCCUACGGGAGGCAGCAGUGGGGGAAUUUUGGACAAUGGGCGCAAGCCUGAUCCAGCCAUUCCGCGUGCAGGAUGAAGGCCCUCGGGUUGUAAACUGCUUUGUACGGAACGAAAAGGCUUUCUCUAAUACAGGGGGCUCAUGACGGUACCGUAAGAUAAGCACCGGCUAACUACGUGCCAGCAGCCGCGGUAAU
rnacentral:rRNA from 1 species